rnacentral:lncRNA from 1 species
AUCUAUGAUAUAAUUUAAAAGCAUAAUGAUAACAAGAGUAGAGGUUGAAUAUCAGAAGUUGUAAUUUUGACCACUGGGUAAGAAGAGAGGAUGGUCGAGGCUCAUAAUUGCUCCCUAGUUGGGGUUCCGUCAUCGCCUCCUAUAUUAAACACAUAGGAAGGAAAAAUGUUGUAGGGAAACUCAGUUCACAUUUAUCACCCCCUAAGAAGAGAAUAAUUUGUGGGUUGGCAUUAGGUCUCCUAAAUGCGUGUAGUCUUAGGAACCAGAGGGAAUUUUGUCUGCCACUUUGUACGGUUCCCCCUGAGCAAUGCAAUCACAUUCCUUUCUACUUUUCCCCGGUCCACCUUUUCCCCCUCAGUAAUUUGGUUCAUUCAGGAGCUAUAUUGUCAUUGACUCCCUACUUGCACCACCUUCUCCUCAUCAAAGUGGUGUGGAAGGGGCAGAGCAGAAGUUAAUUAUUCAAAAAUCUUGCUAGAAAUUCCAGGAGUGAAUUCAUCAGCAACAAUGCUAUGUAUAUUGGUUGUUCAUUGGCUCUGCCUACCUAUGGCUAUGUAAUCCUUCAAAAAUUACCCUGCAGAACCCCAAACAUGCAACACUUGCUCAUAGGAGCUACUACAGAAUCAGAAAGUAUGAGAGCAUUGGCUCCUCUCUCCUAGAGUUUAGGGACCAUGCAAUCAAUUUCUGCCCCAUAAAGGAGAGAGAAUAACAUGGCCCUCAGAUGCCAGAACACUAAAAGGAUGGGCAUGUCUCUCUGCCCUAUAUUUCAUUUUACUGUAAUCUCACAUAGCCUGAGGUUUUUCAAAGGAAACUAGUAGUUAGACACCCAAUUCCUAUUGUAUCUCAGUGGGGAUGGAGCAUCUAAUCUCUUGUAGGUUUCUUUGGAAAUGCCAGUUUUAAGUAAUAAUGGAGUAAGGAGGAAGUUACAAUAUUCCUGGCAAGUUAAAGCAUAUGCCACUUUGAAAGUUCAGAAAAGGCGGUGCAGUGGUUAGGAACUAGCCAAGCACUUGCAAGACCUAGGUUCAGUUCCCUAGUGUGCCACAGGCUUCCAGUGUGAACUUUGGGCAAAUCUCUUGGUCCCAUCUAUAAAAUGGGGAUAAUCAUACUUUCCUACCUCACAGGAGAAUUGUGAGACUAAAUACAUUAAGGAUUAUGAGAUGCUCACAUGUUAUGGUGAUGGGGCCAUAAAUAGCUUCAAAAAGUUGCUGAGUGCUUUGUUUGUGACUUGGCCUAUGCUUCAGUACUGCUUUUGCUCAGUGAGCUGAACAAAGGAGGGGGGUUACUAAUUCUAGUAUUAAAAACAAAACUAGAAUAACAUUUUUAUUGUCUCUUCCAUUUAAGAUUUUAUACCUUUCAAUGUCUCAUUUCACUGGCAUUCUUUUUGUCUCUACUAAAUAAAGGCAGUCUAGACAUGCUGCC